AAACAGGAAAAAGGUAUCCAAAAUAAAAAUCCCGCUUUCUCUAUUUUACUGUUACUAUGACCCUCCCUUCUCCCUUCCUUCUCUCUUUCUCCCUUUUUUUGCCUUUUUUCCUCUUUUGCCUUUUUUUGCCUUUUUUUUAUUAG
rnacentral:ribozyme from 13 species